GUGGGGAAUCUUCCGCAAUGGACGAAAGUCUGACGGAGCAACGCCGCGUGAGUGAAGAAGGUUUUCGGAUCGUAAAGCUCUUUCGUUAGGGACGAACGUGCUCUUUGUGAAUAAUGAGGAGUAAUGACGGUACCUAAAUAAGAAGCCACGGCUAACUACGUGCCAGCAGCCGCGGUAAUACGUAGGUGGCAAGCGUUGUCCGGAAUUAUUGGGCGUAAAGCGCGCGCAGGCGGGAUAUCAAGUCUGUCUUAAAAGUGCGAGGCUCAACCUCGUGAGGGGACAGAAACUGGUAUUCUUGAGUGUCGGAGAGGAAAGUGGAAUUCCUAGUGUAGCGGUGAAAUGCGUAGAUAUUAGGAAGAACACCAGUGGCGAAGGCGACUUUCUGGACGAAAACUGACGCUGAGGCGCGAAAGCCAGGGGAGCGAACGGGAUUAGAAACCCGAGUAGUCC
rnacentral:rRNA from 1 species